AACGAACGCUGGCGGCAUGCCUAACACAUGCAAGUCGAACGAGACCUUCGGGUCUAGUGGCGCAUGGGUGCGUAACGCGUGGGAACCUGCCCUUAGGUUCGGAAUAACUAGCCGAAAGGGGUGCUAAUACCGGAUAAUGUCUUCAGACCAAAGAUUUAUAGCCUUAGGAUGGGCCCGCGUUGGAUUAGCUAGUUGGUAGGGUAAAAGCCUACCAAGGCGACGAUCCAUAGCUGGUCUGAGAGGAAGAUCAGCCACACUGGGACUGAGACACAGCCCAGACUCCUACGGAAGGCAGCAGUGCUGAAUAUUGCACAAUGGGCGAAAUCCUGAUCCACCAAUGCCGCGUGAGUGAUGAAGGCCUUAGAGUUGUAAAGCUCUUUUACCCGGGAUGAUAAUGACAGUACCGGAAGAAUAAGCUCCGGCUAACUCCGUG
rnacentral:rRNA from 1 species